rnacentral:lncRNA from 1 species
CAGAUUUCAAGCUGUAGGAUUGGCUUCUUUCAGCACCUCCAGUUACCCUGUGGUUGGUGUCCCAUUUCUUUGAGAAUGGCCACGCUAGUAUCCACUCCACGGAAGCUCCUGGGCCAGUGGCUGUCCUCCAGAUACUAGCAAGAGCCUAGAGCUGGACCAGGAGCCACCUGCACUACCCUGGCUCCCGAGACAGCAUACCAGGCACCUCAGGAGAUCUUGGCCAGGAGCACAGCCACACAGGUCCGCCAACCAUCCCCCGAUCCGGCCGUGUUUAACUUUCUUUGCCAGUCGUGAUACCCCGUCAGAUUUCUGGCGCUGCCACGCCGCCCGCCUGGGCUCCUUCUGGGCUCUUAUCAGCCUCUCCCAGUCAGUCUGGCCCGCCACAGCUGUUCCAGGCCCUCAGCCCCUCACUUUAUCUGCUCGCACAGACCUCGGCCUGGCAAGCGGUGGGCCCGGCGCCUGCUCCACAUUCCCCAGGAAGCCAGCUGGGAACACAGCCGCCCUGCUCCCGGACCCUCUGAGAGUUCAUUACCAGCCAGGGUACCCCAGCCCGUCAGCCAAGGUGCGGGCCGCGCUGCCGAGCCCGGCCGCCGGAGCCGCCUGCAUCAUUAAAACUCCAACCUUCUGAAGAGAAGAAAGAACAAAACCACAAAUUUAGAUUAAUAAAGCAUUUGUUGAUUCUACAGCAAUUUAGCAGGCCUCUAAGAAACCCACCAGAGACCCGCGGAGCUCCAGUAAUUUUCUGUUAUAUUAUCUUUCUUGUAAAAUACUUCCCCAGACAGAGUCCCCAAAGGGGCUCAAAUAUCACUGUGACUAACCAAAAUCAAUGUGCACUCACCUAUUGACAUUUUUACAUAGUUUUUGGAUUUAGUAUCCAGCCGAAAACACAAUCACCUCCUCUGCCAAGGAGCCGACAGGCACUUAGCUAGUCAGCUAUUAGUGUUACAAAGGGAAAAAUGGAAGCACCCAGGGGAGCUGGGCGAGGCGGCACUGACGUCAGGGGGUAAUUGGGUGUCUGAGAGAAAUUGCCAGCGGCUGGCCGGCUCCCCCGGGGGCCGCACAAAGCUGAGCUGUAACUCUAAUAAAGGAAAGGAAAUUCUAGAAAAGGGGGCUUUGCUACAAAGGAGCCCAGGCAGACGCCAAAAAUAGCCCUUUGGAAAUAAAUAAAUAAAUGCGGCCAAAACAUCUAGAUCUAAAAAAUAAAAUAAAUCACUGCUCCAC